CUAUAGCCCUGAUUGAACCGAUAUCCUUUGAGAGGAACGAACAAAGAUAAAGGCGAAAGCAGGAAACAGC
rnacentral:sRNA from 1 species